rnacentral:rRNA from 1 species
GGCGGCGUGCUUAACACAUGCAAGUCGAACGAGAUCCAAUGUGUAGCAAUACACAGGAAGAUCUAGUGGCGAACGGGUGAGGAACACGUGAGAAACGUACCCCAGACUUUGGGAUAACAGUUCGAAAGGACUGCUAAUACCAAAUAACGUCGGAAGUCCGCAUGGACAUCUGACGAAAGGGAUUCCGGGUUUGGGAGCGUCUCGCGGACCUAUCAGCUAGUUGGGAGGGGUAACGGCCCACCAAGGCAACGACGGGUAGCUGGUCUGAGAAGAUGGUCAGCCACACUGGGACUGAGACACGGCCCAGACUCCUACGGGAGGCAGCAGUGGGGAAUCUUGCGCAAUGGGCGAAAGCCUGACGCAGCAACCCCGCGU